CCUGGUGGCUGAAACGGUAAAGAAUCUGCCUGCAAAGCAGAAGACCUGGGUUGGAUCCCUGUGUCAGAA
rnacentral:tRNA from 1 species